rnacentral:rRNA from 1 species
AUGUGGACUCGUCUCCGUCAGCGCUAUGAGCCCUCUGGUGAUGCCCUAUACCUCUCUGUGGUUCGUCAGGAGCAUGCUCUUCAGCAGGGUGACUCCACUGUUGAUGAUUUCUAUGCACAGAGUUCUGCUAUCUGGCGUCAGCUUGAUUCUCUCCGCACUGCUGGUUGUCGCACUUGCCAGUGUUGCCAGGCUAUGCGGGCUGAUUCGGAGUUUCAUCGUGUCUACGAGUUCUUAUCUCGGCUCCGUAAGGAGUUUGAGCCUCGGCGUGCUCAGUUGUUUGCUCGUGGCCAGAUUUCUCUCAUGGAGGCGCUUUCUGAGAUCCGUGCUGAGGAGACUCGCUUACGUGGCGCUGGUUUACUCGAGAUUUCCUCUGUGCUCGUUGCUCGCACUCCAUCUCUGCCGCCUGCUGCACCGACUCCUCCACGCUCCAGUGCUCCACCACUCUUGCCCACUCCUACUGGCGGUCAGGGUCGAUCUCGUCCUCGUUGCGGCUACUGCAACCAGGAUGGUCAUAUUGAGUCGCAGUGCUUCUAG